rnacentral:rRNA from 1 species
GAUGAACGCUGGCGGCGUGCCUAAUACAUGCAAGUCGAGCGGACGGACGAGAAGCUUGCUUCUCUGAUGUUUGCGGCGGACGGGUGUGUCACACGUGGAUAACCUACCUAUAAGACUGGGAUCACUUGGGGACACCGGAGCUAAUACCGGAGGAUAUUUUGAACCGCAUGGUUCAAAAGUGAAAGACGGUCUUGCUGUCACUUAUAGAUGGAUCCGCGCUGCAUUAGCUAGUUGGUACGGUAACGGCUUAUUAAGGCAACGAUGCGUAGCCGACGGGAUAGAGUGAUAGGCCGCCUGGGAACGGGACCGCGGACCAGACGCCUAAGAGAGGGAGCAGUAGGGAACCUUACGCAACGGGGGAGAGCAUUACGGAGCAGCCGCGCGUGAGAGAUGACGGUCCUCGGAUCGUAAUGCUCUGUUAUUAGGGAAGAACAUAUGUGUAAGUAACUGUACACAUCUUGACGGUACUUGAUCAGAAAGCCACGGCUAACUACGUG